UACGAAGGGGGCUAGCGUUGCUCGGAAUCACUGGGCGUAAAGGGCGCGUAGGCGGCCAUUCAAGUCGGGGGUGAAAUCCUGGAGCUCAACUCCAGAACUGCCUUCGAUACUGGAAGACUUGAGUCCGGGAGAGGUGAGUGGAACUGCGAGUGUAGAGGUGAAAUUCGUAGAUAUUCGCAAGAACACCAGUGGCGAAGGCGGCUCACUGGCCCGGUACUGACGCUGAGGUGCGAAAGCGUGGGGAGCAAACAGG
rnacentral:rRNA from 1 species